AUGUCGUGCGCGAAGAGCACGGUGGUCGCGGAGACGAGGAGGUCACAGAGGACCUGCGUAGUGGCGCAGAGGUCGCGGCGGCUCGGUGCGACAACCGUGGAGGCGCGUGGCACGGAGCCGCGGCGGACCUGCGUGGUGGCGCAGAGGCUGCGGUGGCGCGGCAUGGCGGCAUGGAGGUGCUGCGCUGCGGUUGAGGCCGCAGCGGUGCAGGGCAAUAAGCCGUGGCGGCGAGCCGGGCGCGACCGGUGCGUGUUAUGGGUGCGCACUGGACGCGUCGGACGCGUCGGGACCGCGGGCGCGCGUACGAGCGUGCGGUUGACGUUGGGAGGAGGCGUAUGUCGCCAUUGUGUUCGAGUCCGUGCUCGAGUUCGGCUACAUCCUUCCGGCGUUUGUCGCUGGCGGCUGCCAUGGCGGACGCGGAGGCGGCGCGCGGUGAGCGUCUGGUGCGGUUGGACUCGUCGGGCGCGUCGGGUGCGCGCGGGACGUGCGGGACGCACUGGUGCGGUCGGGCUCGUCGGGUGCGUCGGGUGCGCGCGGACUUGCGGGACGCACUGUUGCGGUCCGGCGCUUCGGGUGCGCGCGGGACGUGCGGGGCGCCGAGGGACGGCAGGCGUAUGUCGCCGGCGGAGAAGGAGCUCGGUGUGUGUCGCCGGAGUCGUGACGGAGCACGUUGCGACCGGCGUCGUUGCGAGGUCGGGUCCACGGGCUGGGUCACGGUCGUGGCGACAUUGA
rnacentral:rRNA from 1 species